CAAGGGGCUUCAGGGUCUUCAAGUUCUGAUGUGUAAAGGAUUGCCUCUAGACAUCAUUGCUGUUUUCCAUCUGACUUCAUAUCUGCUGUGUGCUGUUGUCCAGGACUAUUCUUUUUCCAUUUCAGUGGAAAUGACUGAAGUUACCUCCUAACUCCCUCUCUCUUACCUUGUUGAUGGCUGCAGAUCCAGUUGUGUUCCCUGCAGAGCCUUCAAAAGCCUGUGUGCAAGGCUGCAGCCAUUAAAAGGCCACUGAGGGUGCUGAAGGCUAAAUAGUGUCAUGUCUGGGAAUGGUAGUGGCGAUUACAGGUACUGAGAAACAUGGUCAUUCCUCCUGCAAGCAUCAACAGUACCAUCAACAUCUGUAGCAGCCUGUGAGAGAUGGUAAUUGCUACUACCUUCCUGGAAGCAUCACAAGGAGAUAGGAGGUGUUAUAUAUGGGGUAAGAGGGGCAGAUCUGAGGGUCAAGCACCAAUGGGAACAGGGAAAAGUGGUGCAUAGGCAGGGUUAGGGAAAGGGAGAACCAAUAGGGAAACAGGAGCAGAGCAAUUCACCAAAAGAAGGCCAAUGGGAGUCCAGGGAAGGGAGAACAGUUUAGGGAAAAUCCAAAUGAGGUAAACAGGAGCUGAACUGGGGUGACAUCAAUUUGAUAAACCAAUAGGGGAACAAAUUCAACAAUAUAUUAACAUAUCUGCAAAGACCUAUGGGGAAGAGGACUUCCCUCAGUCCAGUCCGGAGGCAGUACUUGCUGCCUCCUUUCCAUGAUUGGGGUAUAAGGAUUCUUCUAGUCACAGGCCCUUGGGCCUCCACAAACAUCUUCAAAGAGCAGGAACAGAACUCUGAGGCCUGUGUUUUCUGUUGGGAAAUGUGCCUGUCCCAGGGACUCAGGUGGAGAGCUGCUGUGCUGUCCAGGGACCAGAUCAGCUGGAGGAAGACCAGAAGCAAAUAAUGACAGCACAGCAGCAGCUUGCAACUGAACUGGAAGGUGAAAAUAAUAAAUUCAUGUUAAAAAGAAAUUACUGAAGAUAU
rnacentral:lncRNA from 1 species